UACGAAGGUCCCAAGCGUUGUUCGGAAUCACUGGGCGUAAAGGGAGCGUAGGCGGCGCGGUAAGUCAGAUGUGAAAUCCCGGGGCUCAACCCCGGAACUGCAUCCGAUACUGCCGUGCUAGAGGAUUGGAGAGGUAGCUGGAAUUCUUGGUGUAGCAGUGAAAUGCGUGGAUAUCAAGAGGAACACUCGUGGCGAAAGCGAGCUACUGGACAACUCCUGACGCUGAGGCUCGAAGGCCAGGGUAGCGAAAGGG
rnacentral:rRNA from 1 species